GUGGGGAAUUUUGGACAAUGGGCGCAAGCCUGAUCCAGCCAUUCCGCGUGCAGGAUGAAGGCCUUCGGGUUGUAAACUGCUUUUGUACGGAACGAAAAGCCUCUGGUUAAUACCCGGGGGUCAUGACGGUACCGUAAGAAUAAGCACCGGCUAACUACGUGCCAGCAGCCGCGGUAAUACGUAGGGUGCGAGCGUUAAUCGGAAUUACUGGGCGUAAAGCGUGCGCAGGCGGUGAUGUAAGACAGUUGUGAAAUCCCCGGGCUCAACCUGGGAACUGCAGCUGUGACUGCAUUACUGGAGUGCGGCAGAGGGGGAUGGAAUUCCGCGUGUAGCAGUGAAAUGCGUAGAUAUGCGGAGGAACACCGAUGGCGAAGGCAAUCCCCUGGGCCUGCACUGACGCUCAUGCACGAAAGCGUGGGGAGCAAACAGGAUUAGAUACCCGAGUAGUCC
rnacentral:rRNA from 1 species